rnacentral:misc_RNA from 1 species
GUUUUGGCUCUCACUUUCUGGAGAUAUUCGAGAAGUAACCUGAGAUCUUAGGAGGCUUUUGCUUUUGCUGAGCAGAGUUUCAUGUACUGAGCAGGAAAGAGAUUUUCUACAGGAAUUUAGAAUCAUUUACCAAAGAUUCGAUUACAAGUAUUUAGCUCCAAGAAAAAAAUAUCACCACUGAUUUAGGGGAAGCAUCUAGAUUUAUACACUAGCCUUUUAUGUUUUUUAAUCAUUUACUUAUUAUUAUUAUUAUUAUU